CCUACGGGUGGCAGCAGUGAGGAAUAUUGGACAAUGGGCGAGAGCCUGAACCAGCCAAGUCGCGUGAGGGAGUACUGCCCUAUGGGUUGUAAACCUCUUUUGCCGGGGAGCAAAAGCCGAACGUGUCCGGCUGUGAGAGUACCCGAAGAAAAAGCAUCGGCUAACUCCGUGCCAGCAGCCGCGGUAAAACGGAGGAUGCGAGCGUUAUCGGGAUUUAUAGGGGUUAAAGGGUGCGCAGGCGGAUUUUUAAGUCAGCGGUCAAAUCGUGGGGUGAAACCCGAUCCAGCCGUUGAAACUGGUGAUCUAGAGUGUUCGAGAGGUAUGCGGAAUGCGUGGUGGAGCGGUGAAAUGCGUAGAUAGCAGGCAGAACCCCGGUGGCGAAGGCAGCAUACCGGUGAACAACUGACGCUCAGGCACGAAAGCGUGGGUAGCGAACAGGAUUAGAUACCCGGGUAGUC
rnacentral:rRNA from 1 species